GCUCCUUAACUUUUAUCUUAGUAGCGCUCAUUCAGCCGAGUUGUGAGAGUGGAGUAGCGUCACCUUCUCAUUCGAAAAUGACUGAUGUGCUAAGAAGAUGCCGUUAUGGCGAAGCGAGAGUGAGCUGGAUUCUCCCAAGGAUUGCUCUUCGGAGAGGCCGCGGUUUAUUACAAAUGGGAAAGCUUUCAUUGCAGAUUGCUCCGGCGCAGCACAGGGGUACGUGACCCAUCUAGGCCGCGCCGGGGGUUGACUUUAUGGCUCUGAAUUCACUCAAAAAGUGAGCAGAGCUGAAUUUAACUGUGUCUGUUUGUGUUUGUUUAUGGACAUCCACAUUUAAAUUGUGUGUGGAAAUGUUUUAACAAAUGGUUAGUCAUAAGCAAAAGAGUGAAUCCUUGUUAGCUGGAAUAAAAGUCUGCACUGAGCGCCA